rnacentral:lncRNA from 1 species
GUGAGAAAACCUCCAAAAACUACACUAAUGUCACUUGGCCAUCAACUUGAAAGAUAAAUCAAAAAUUCUAGUAGUGAUUUCUCCUUCUUCAACCAUUAACUUUGAUCCAAAAUUGGUUUACAGCUUGAUUUUCAAGUCUUUCAACACCUUGCCAAAUUUCACCUUGAUCCAAGUAGUAGAUCUAUAGAUAUCAUAGAAAUCCUCUCCAAUCCUAAAUUACUAACUUCUAAUAUGUACUUGUACCAAAAUCCACAUAUCUCUCAAUUAUAUCAUUGGAUUAUGACAAAAUUUCACAUGCAUUUAAAACACCUAAUUAUCCAAGUAAUUUUAAAAUUUGAACUAUAGAUGUGACACCAAUUUUACAAACUAGCUAAGAGUGCUAGCCCUAAUUUAAUUGCAUAAAUCCCAAGUUGCCAAUA